GAUGAACGCUGGCGGCAUGCUUUACACAUGCAAGUCGGACGGGAAGUGGUGUUUCCCGUGGCGGACGGGUGAGUAACGCGUAAGAACCUGCCCUUGGGAGGGGAACAACAGCUGGAAACGGCUGCUAAUACCCCGUAGGCUGAGGAGCGAAAGGAGGAAUCCGCCCAAGGAGGGGCUCGCGUCUGAUUAGCUAGUUGGUGAGGUAAUAGCUUACCAAGGCCGUGAUCAGUAGCUGGUCCGAGAGGAUGAUCAGCCACACUGGGACUGAGACAAGGCCCAGACUCCUACGGGAGGCAGCAGUGGGGAAUGUUCCGCAAUGGGCGAAAGCCUGACGGAGCAAUGCCGCGUGGAGGUAAAAGGCCUACGGGUCAUGAACUUCUUUUCCUGGAGAAGAAACAAUGACGGUAGCUGGGGAAUAAGCAUCGGCUAACUCUGUG
rnacentral:rRNA from 1 species